UACGGGGGGAGCAAGCGUUGUUCGGAUUUACUAGGCGUAAAGGGCGCGUAGGCGGUCAGCACAAGUCAGUUGUGAAAUCUCCGGGCUUAACUCGGAAAGGUCAACUGAUACUGUGCGACUAGAGUGCGGAAGGGGCAACUGGAAUUCUCGGUGUAGCGGUGAAAUGCGUAGAUAUCGAGAGGAACACCUGCGGCGAAGGCGGGUUGCUGGGCCGACACUGACGCUGAUGCGCGAAAGCCAGGGGAGCGAACGGG
rnacentral:rRNA from 1 species